GACGAACGCUGGCGGCGUGCUUAACACAUGCAAGUCGAACGGAAAGGCCCUGCUUUUGUGGGGUGCUCGAGUGGCGAACGGGUGAGUAACACGUGAGUAACCUGCCCUUGACUUUGGGAUAACUUCAGGAAACUGGGGCUAAUACCGGAUAUGAGCUCCUGCUGCAUGGUGGUGGUUGGAAAGUUUCGGCGGUUGGGGAUGGACUCGCGGCUUAUCAGCUUGUUGGUGGGGUAGUGGCUUACCAAGGCUUUGACGGGUAGCCGGCCUGAGAGGGUGACCGGCCACAUUGGGACUGAGAUACGGCCCAGACUCCUACGGGAGGCAGCAGUGGGGAAUAGUGCACAAUGGGCGGAAGCCUGAUGCAGCAACGCCGCGUGCGGGAUGACGGCCUUCGGGUUGUAAACCGCUUUCGCCUGUGACGAAGCGUGAGUGACGGUAAUGGGUAAAGAAGCACCGGCUAACUACGUG
rnacentral:rRNA from 1 species